rnacentral:rRNA from 1 species
AGAUUAAGUUAUUAAGGGCGCACGGUGGAUGCCUUGGCACUAGAAGCCGAUGAAGGACGUUACUAACGACGAUAUGCUUUGGGUAGCUGUAAGUAAGCGUUGAUCCAGAGAUUUCCGAAUGGGGGAACCCAGCAUGAGUUAUGUCAUGUUAUCGACAUGUGAAUUCAUAGCAUGUCAGAAGGCAGACCCGGAGAACUGAAACAUCUUAGUACCCGGAGGAAGAGAAAGAAAAAUCGAUUCCCUGAGUAGCGGCGAGCGAAACGGGAAGAGCCCAAACCAACAAGCUUGCUUGUUGGGGUUGUAGGACACUCUAUACGGAGUUACAAAAGAACAUGUUAGACGAAUCAUCUGGAAAGAUGAAUCAAAGAAGGUAAUAAUCCUGUAGUCGAAAACAUAUUCUCUCUUGAGUGGAUCCUGAGUACGACGGAGCACGUGAAAUUCCGUCGGAAUCUGGGAGGACCAUCUCCUAAGGCUAAAUACUCUCUAGUGACCGAUAGUGAACCAGUACCGUGAGGGAAAGGUGAAAAGUACCCCGGAAGGGGAGUGAAAGAGAACUUGAAACCGUGUGCUUACAAGUAGUCAGAGCCCGUUAAUGGGUGAUGGCGUGCCUUUUGUAGAAUGAACCGGCGAGUUACGAUCUGAUGCAAGGUUAAGCAGCAAAUGUGGAGCCGCAGCGAAAGCGAGUCUGAAUAGGGCGUUGAGUAUUUGGUCGUAGACCCGAAACCAGGUGAUCUACCCUUGGUCAGGUUGAAGUUCAGGUAACACUGAAUGGAGGACCGAACCGACUUACGUUGAAAAGUGAGCGGAUGAACUGAGGGUAGCGGAGAAAUUCCAAUCGAACUUGGAGAUAGCUGGUUCUCUCCGAAAUAGCUUUAGGGCUAGCCUCAAGUGAUGAUUAUUGGAGGUAGAGCACUGUUUGGACGAGGGGCCCCUCUCGGGUUACCGAAUUCAGACAAACUCCGAAUGCCAAUUAAUUUAACUUGGGAGUCAGAACAUGGGUGAUAAGGUCCGUGUUCGAAAGGGAAACAGCCCAGACCACCAGCUAAGGUCCCAAAAUAUAUGUUAAGUGGAAAAGGAUGUGGCGUUGCCCAGACAACUAGGAUGUUGGCUUAGAAGCAGCCAUCAUUUAAAGAGUGCGUAAUAGCUCACUAGUCGAGUGACACUGCGCCGAAAAUGUACCGGGGCUAAACAUAUUACCGAAGCUGUGGAUUGUCCUUUGGACAAUGGUAGGAGAGCGUUCUAAGGGCGUCGAAGCAUGAUCGCAAGGACAUGUGGAGCGCUUAGAAGUGAGAAUGCCGGUGUGAGUAGCGAAAGACGGGUGAGAAUCCCGUCCACCGAUUGACUAAGGUUUCCAGAGGAAGGCUCGUCCGCUCUGGGUUAGUCGGGUCCUAAGCUGAGGCCGACAGGCGUAGGCGAUGGAUAACAGGUUGAUAUUCCUGUACCACCUAGUAUCGUUUUAAUCGAUGGGGGGACGCAGUAGGAUAGGCGAAGCGUGCUGUUGGAGUGCACGUCCAAGCAGUAAGGCUGAGUGUUAGGCAAAUCCGGCACUCAUAAGGCUGAGCUGUGAUGGGGAGAGGAAAUUGUUUCCUCGAGUCGUUGAUUUCACACUGCCGAGAAAAGCCUCUAGAUAGAUAACAGGUGCCCGUACCGCAAACC